UUACUACUCCCUCCGUUCGGAAUUACUUGUCUCGGAAAUGGAUGUAUCUAGAAUUAAAAUACAUCUAAAUACAUCCAUUUGUGCGACAAGUAAUUCCGAACGGAGAGAGUACUAU
rnacentral:pre_miRNA from 1 species